AUUGAACGCUGGCCGCAUGCCUUACACAUGCAAGUCGAACGGCAGCACGGGUGCUUGCACCUGGUGGCGAGUGGCGAACGGGUGAGUAAUACAUCGGAACAUGUCCUGUAGUGGGGGAUAGCCCGGCGAAAGCCGGAUUAAUACCGCAUACGAUCUACGGAUGAAAGCGGGGGACCUUCGGGCCUCGCGCUAUAGGGUUGGCCGAUGGCUGAUUAGCUAGUUGGUGGGGUAAAGGCCUACCAAGGCGACGAUCAGUAGCUGGUCUGAGAGGACGACCAGCCACACUGGGACUGAGACACGGCCCAGACUCCUACGGGAGGCAGCAGUGGGGAAUUUUGGACAAUGGGCGAAAGCCUGAUCCAGCAAUGCCGCGUGUGUGAAGAAGGCCUUCGGGUUGUAAAGCACUUUUGUCCGGAAAGAAAUCCUUGGCCCUAAUACGGUCGGGGGAUGACGGUACCGGAAGAAUAAGCACCGGCUAACUACGUG
rnacentral:rRNA from 1 species